CAGUAGCCGCGGUAAUACGAAGGGGGCUAGCGUUGCUCGGAAUGACUGGGCGUAAAGGGCGCGUAGGCGGAUGGCACAGUCAGAUGUGAAAUUCCCGGGCUUAACCUGGGGGCUGCAUUUGAUACGUGUGAUCUAGAGUGAGGAAGAGGGUUGUGGAAUUCCCAGUGUAGAGGUGAAAUUCGUAGAUAUUGGGAAGAACACCGGUGGCGAAGGCGGCAACCUGGUCCUUGACUGACGCUGAGGCGCGAAAGCGUGGGGAGCAAACAGGAUUAGAUACCCCUGUAGUCCCUGUCUCUUAUAC
rnacentral:rRNA from 1 species